rnacentral:rRNA from 1 species
UCCUACGGGACGCAGCAGUGAGGAAUAUUGGUCAAUGGGAGAGAUCCUGAACCAGCCAAGCCGCGUGAGGGAAGACUGCCCUAUGGGUUGUAAACCUCUUUUGUCAGGGAGCAAUUGGCGCUACGUGUAGCGUUAUCGAGAGUACCUGAAGAAAAAGCAUCGGCUAACUCCGUGCCAGCAGCCGCGGUAAUACGGAGGAUGCGAGCGUUAUCCGGAUUUAUUGGGUUUAAAGGGUGCGUAGGCGGAAUGCCAAGUCAGCGGUAAAAUCGCGGGGCUCAACCUCGCUCCGCCGUUGAAACUGGCGU